rnacentral:rRNA from 1 species
CCAGACUCCUACGGGAGGCAGCAGUCGGGAAUAUUGCACAAUGGAGGAAACUCUGAUGCAGUGACGCCGCGUGCAGGAAGAAGGUUUUAGGAUUGUAAACUGCUUUAGACAGGGAAGAAAAAAGACAGUACCUGUAGAAUAAGCUCCGGCUAACUACGUGCCAGCAGCCGCGGUAAUACGUAGGGAGCGAGCGUUGUCCGGAAUUACUGGGCGUAAAGGGCGCGUAGGCGGGAACUUAAGUUAGAUGUGAAAACUCCGGGCUUAACCUGGAGACUGCAUUUAAAACUGGGUUUCUUGAGGGCAGGAGAGGAAAGUGGAAUUCCUAGUGUAGCGGUGAAAUGCGUAGAUAUUAGGAGGAACACCAGUGGCGAAGGCGACUUUCUGGACUGUACCUGACGCUGAGGCGCGAAAGCAUGGGGAGCGAACAGGAUUAGAUACCCCCGUA